CCUACGGGAGGCUGCAGUGGGGAAUAUUGGACAAUGGGGGGAACCCUGAUCCAGCCAUGCCGCGUGUGUGAAGAAGGCCCUCGGGUUGUAAAGCACUUUCAGUGAGGAAGAACGCCUGGUGGUUAAUACCCAUCAGGAAAGACAUCACUCACAGAAGAAGCACCGGCUAACUCCGUGCCAGCAGCCGCGGUAAUACGGAGGGUGCGAGCGUUAAUCGGAAUUACUGGGCGUAAAGCGCGCGUAGGUGGCUUGAUAAGCCGGUUGUGAAAGCCCCGGGCUCAACCUGGGAACGGCAUCCGGAACUGUCAAGCUAGAGUGCAGGAGAGGAAGGUAGAAUUCCCGGUGUAGCGGUGAAAUGCGUAGAGAUCGGGAGGAAUACCAGUGGCGAAGGCGGCCUUCUGGACUGACACUGACACUGAGGUGCGAAAGCGUGGGUAGCAAACAGGAUGAGAUACCCGGGUAGUC
rnacentral:rRNA from 1 species